CUUCAGUUGUCAUUCUAGGCUUUGACUGCCGAUCUUAGCUUCAUUUACAAAUCUUAGCCACAAACAUCGGAGCGCCCCUCAUCUUCACUGAUCGUAUUACCUAUCGAUCUGAAGCUUACUAAUCGGGUCUGAUCUAAUUUGAGAACUUCGUGCUUCUUUUCAAAUUCGAAACGAUCCAGCUGGCUCUAGAGCAAGUAAGGCAGGAAUAACCAUCGCAUUCCGAAAAUUUCGAUCCCAAAUCUCAUCAAGCUGCGCCC
rnacentral:lncRNA from 1 species